GCGGUCGCCUCCCAAAAGGUAACGGAGGCGCUCAAAGGUUCUCUCAGUACGGUCGGAAAUCGUACGUAGAGUGUAAAGGCAAAAGAGAGCUUGAUUGCAAGACAUACAGGUCGAGCAAGGAUGAAAAUCGGACUUAGUGAUCCGGUGGUUCUGCGUGGAAGGGCCAUCGCUCAACGGAUAAAAGCUACCCUGGGGAUAACAGGCUUAUCUCCCCCAAGAGUCCACAUCGACGGGGAGGUUUGGCACCUCGAUGUCGGCUCAUCACCUCCUGGGGCUGUAGUAGGUCCCAAGGGUUGGGCUGUUCGCCCAUUAAAGUGGUACGCGAGCUGGGUUCAGAACGUCGUGGGACAGUUCGGUCCCUAUCCGUCGCAGGCGUAGGAAAUUUGAGAAGACCUGUCCUUAGUACGAGAGGACCGGGAUGGACGUACCUCUGGUGUACCAGUUGU
rnacentral:rRNA from 1 species